rnacentral:rRNA from 1 species
ACGGGUGCGUAACACGUGGGCAAUCUGCCCUCUGAUGGGGAAUAACCCCGCGAAAGCGGGGCUAAUUCCGCAUAACAUUCCCAUGACUUAGGUUGAGGGAUUCAAAGCAGUGAUGCGUCAGAGGAGGAGCCCGCGCCCGAUUAGCUAGUUGGUGAGGUAACGGCUCACCAAGGCAAUGAUCGGUAGCUGGUCUGAGAGGAUGAUCAGCCACACUGGAACUGAGACACGGUCCAGACUCCUACGGGAGGCAGCAGUGGGGAAUCUUGCACAAUGGGCGAAAGCCUGAUGCAGCGACGCCGCGUGGGGGAUGAAGCAUUUCGGUGUGUAAACCCCUUUCGACUGGGAAGAAAGCCUCGCAAGAGGACUGACGGUACCAGUAUAAGAAGCCCCGGCUAACUACGUGCCAGCAGCCGCGG